rnacentral:lncRNA from 1 species
GGAUUUAUUUUUCUUAGCCAAGUGAAUUGAUAUUCUCAAGGGUGUUUGAGAAUUAGAGUUAGAAUCUAGUCGAGGUUAGGUUUUGUAUCUUCGCACUUUGCAAAGGUCUUGGUUGGGAGUGACCAAUGGUUGGGGCUAUACUAUGAUUAGGUGUUGAGUAUUCGUAAGAGACGGGUUAGAGGUCAAACGGACGUGAAAGACUCUAGGGCCAAGAAAGAAGUGUUUGUAGAGUUAUUGGAAGUGUGUUUGAAAACUACAUUUGAUUCCAUAGUGAAGAAAAUCACUCAAGAUCAUAAUGGAAGGUCUGAAUAUAGUUUGCAAGCGGGCCCACAAACAAACCAGAAUAAAAUUAUUUGGCACACUCUUAUAUCCUUCAUCUCUUUACAAUUUAGUUUUU